rnacentral:rRNA from 1 species
GACGAACGCUGGCGGCGUGCUUAACACAUGCAAGUCGAACGGAAAGGCCCUGCUUUUGUGGGGUGCUCGAGUGGCGAACGGGUGAGUAACACGUGAGUAACCUGCCCUUGACUUUGGGAUAACUUCAGGAAACUGGGGCUAAUACCGGAUAGGAGCUCCUGCUGCAUGGUGGGGGUUGGAAAGUUUCGGCGGUUGGGGCUGGACUCGCGGCUUAUCAGCUUGUUGGUGGGGUAGUGGCUUACCAAGGCUUUGACGGGUAGCCGACCUGAGAGGGUGACCGGCCACAUUGGGACUGAGAUACGGCCCAGACUCCUACGGGAGGCAGCAGUGGGGAAUAUUGCACAAUGGGCGGAAGCCUGAUGCAGCAACGCCGCGUGCGGGAUGACGGCCUUCGGGUUGUAAACCGCUUUCGCCUGUGACGAAGCGUGAGUGACGGUAAUGGGUAAAGAAGCACCGGCUAACUACGUG